UAGGGAAUAUUGCUUAAUGGGCGAAAGCCUGAAGCAGCAACGCCGCGUGAACGAAGAAGGCCUUCGGGUCGUAAAGUUCUUUUACGUGGGAUGAGGAAGGACAGUACCACGAGAAUAAGUCUCGGCUAACUACGUGCCAGCAGCCGCGGUAAAACGUAGGAGACGAGCGUUAUCCGGAUUUACUGGGCGUAAAGAGCGUGUAGGAGGCGCUACAAGUUGGAUGUAAAAGCUCCCGGCUUAACUGGGAGAGGUCGUUCAAGACUGUAGAGCUAGAGUAAGGCAGAGGUAGAUGGAACUCCGGGAGUAGUGGUGAAAUGCGUAGAUAUCCGGAAGAACACCAGAGGCGAAAGCGAUCUACUGGACCUUAACUGACACUGAGACGCGAAAGCCAGGGUAGCAAACG
rnacentral:rRNA from 1 species